GACGCAACGCGAAGAACCUUACCAAGGCUUGACAUAUACCGGAAAGCAUUAGAGAUAGUGCCCCCCUUGUGGUCGGUAUACAGGUGGUGCAUGGCUGUCGUCAGCUCGUGUCGUGAGAUGUUGGGUUAAGUCCCGCAACGAGCGCAACCCUUGUCCUGUGUUGCCAGCAUGCCCUUCGGGGUGAUGGGGACUCACAGGAGACCGCCGGGGUCAACUCGGAGGAAGGUGGGGACGACGUCAAGUCAUCAUGCCCCUUAUGUCUUGGGCUGCACACGUGCUACAAUGGCCGGUACAAUGAGCUGCGAUACCGUGAGG
rnacentral:rRNA from 1 species